rnacentral:antisense_RNA from 1 species
CGUUUUGGCAGGCCGUACGGGCCAGCGUUUGCUGGGCCGCUUUCCACUAAGGGCGGUAGUGCUAACCCGUUUCGGCCUGCCCCCAGU